rnacentral:lncRNA from 1 species
GUCGAUCGCCAGGAGCAGGGUUGGGCACCCCUGGUCUAUAGGGUACAUAUCGAGAGAGUUGUGUUAUGUUUUUGAGCAACAUUUCUGACAGAAAGUAUCUGAGGCAGACUUGCAUAGUGGGGGCUUUUCGUCAGUAUCCCUGUCAGUGUCUUGCUGGUUUUGAUUUAUAAUUAACUCUGACUGUUUUCGGAUUGAUUACUUCCUCUAAGGAGAGCCAACCUGAAAUUAAGACCUGGUCCUUUUACUGUUGUAUCAGGAGAAGUGGUUUCUCACAACCACAAACACAGACCCCAUCCACCACAAAUACACACACACACACACACCCCACCCCCUGCUACAAAGACUUUUGUGUUUGAUCUGAUCUCAAGUCACACGUCUUGAGAACACCAACAGCUACAGACUGAAACAUUUGUAAGCUUGCACAGCUCUGGGAAGAAUCCACAUCAACAUCAUACACAAACCUGGUAAGACUGAUUUAUUUAUAUUUUGUAAAACUAAUAUCUUUGACUUAAUGUCAAAACUAUAUUUAUACUGUAAUUUUUCCUCCGAUAAUGUUUCCUCCUUUUCUACAGUAUCCUACACACAAGACUGGGUCAACUCAUCUUCAGAGAUUUUAAAUGGAAACACAAGUUCAGAAGACUUAUGAUGAGGCUAUGAGUAAGAAGUUUUCAUAGUUUCA